UCUGGUAGCGUUACCGGAGGGGCCACACCCGUUCCCAUCUCGAACACGGAAGUUAAGUCCUCCAGGGCUGAUGAUACUUUGACCGCGAGGUCAUGGGAAAGUAAGUCGCUGCCAGAU
rnacentral:rRNA from 4 species